GACGAACGCUGGCGGCGUGCCUAAUACAUGCAAGUAGAACGCUGAAGGAGGAGCUUGCUUCUCUGGAUGAGUUGCGAACGGGUGGGUAACGCGUAGGUAACCUGCCUGGUAGCGGGGGAUAACUAUUGGAAACGAUAGCUAAUACCGCAUAACAGUAGAUAUCGCAUGAUAUCUACUUGAAAGGUGCAAUUGCAUCACUACCAGAUGGACCUGCGUUGUAUUAGCUAGUUGGUGAGGUAACGGCUCACCAAGGCGACGAUACAUAGCCGACCUGAGAGGGUGAUCGGCCACACUGGGACUGAGACACGGCCCAGACUCCUACGGGAGGCAGCAGUAGGGAAUCUUCGGCAAUGGACGGAAGUCUGACCGAGCAACGCCGCGUGAGUGAAGAAGGUUUUCGGAUCGUAAAGCUCUGUUGUAAGAGAAGAACGAGUGUGAGAGUGGAAAGUUCACACUGUGACGGUAUCUUACCAGAAAGGGACGGCUAACUACGUG
rnacentral:rRNA from 1 species